rnacentral:rRNA from 1 species
CUACGGGGUGCUGCAGUAAGGAAUAUUGCGCAAUGGAGGCAACUCUGACGCAGCCAUGCCGCGUGCAGGAAGAAGGCCUUAUGGGUCGUAAACUGCUUUUAUUUAGGAAUAAACCCCCGAACGUGUUCGGGGCUGAAGGUACUAAACGAAUAAGCACCGGCUAACUCCGUGCCAGCAGCCGCGGUAAUACGGAGGGUGCAAGCGUUAUCCGGAUUUAUUGGGUUUAAAGGGUGCGCAGGCGGGCUAUUAAGUCAGUGGUGAAAUCCCGGGGCUCAACUCCGGAACUGCCAUUGAUACUGAUAGUCUUGAGUUUGGUUGAAGUGGGCGGAAUGUAGCAUGUAGCGGUGACAUGCAUAGAUAUGCUACAGAACACCAAUCGCGAAGGCAGCUCACUAAGCCAAAACUGACGCUCAUGCACGAAAGCGUGGGGAUCAAACAGGAUUAGAUACCCCUGUAGUC